rnacentral:ncRNA from 1 species
AAAGUAAUUGAUUUUGUUACCAAAAUUUUAAGUUAAUUAAUAUUAAACAUGUAAAUAUUAAUGUUUAUUUUAUUUUUAUUAAAUAUAAAGAUUAAUUAUACAAUUUUCAGUUUUUAAUAUUAUUUAUUUAAUAUAUUAAAAUAUAGUAAUUAAUUUUAAUAUUAACAAAUUUUAGUGCCAGCAGUUGCGGUUAUUCUAAUAAUAUAAUUUAAAAUUUGUAGGUUAGGUAUUAAAUUUUUAAAUUAUUAUUUUUAAUUAUAUUUAUUAAGUGAAAUUUUAAAUAUAAAUUUAAAUAUAGGUUAAUUAUAUAUUAAUAUAUAUAUAAAACUAGGAUUAGAUACCCUAUUAUACUAUUAUAAAUUAAAAACCUUAUUAUUAAUAGCUAUUUCUUUAAAAUAAAAAAAUUUGGCGGUAAUUAAAAAUUGUUUAGAGGAACCUGUUUUUUAAUCGAUAAUCCACGAUUUAUUUCACCUUAAAUAUUUCUUAUAUACCGCUAUCAUUGAAUAUUUUAUUAGAAAAUUUUCAACAAUUAUUUUAUUACAAAAUGUUAGGUCAAGGUUUAGUUUUUUAAGGUUAAAAAUGGGUUACAUUAAUUAUAAUUUUGGAUUUUAAGUUUUUAUAUUUAAAUAAAAUUGGAUUUAAUUGUAAUAUUUAAAUUAAUUUUUUUUAUGAAAUUAUUAUGAUUAUGUACAUAUCGCCCGUCAUUCUCAUAAAUUGAGACAAGUCGUAACAAAGUAGGGGUAUUGGAAAAUAUUCCUGGUAAUAAAUU